UACGGAGGGUGCGAGCGUUGUCCGGAAUCACUGGGCGUAAAGGGCGCGUAGGUGGCUUGGCGCGCGUGCGGUGAAAGCCCGGGGCUUAACCCCGGGUCUGCCGUGCGGACGGCCAGGCUAGGGCACUGUAGAGGCAGGUAGAAUUCCGGGUGUAGCGGUGGAAUGCGUAGAGAUCCGGAAGAAUACCGGUGGCGAAGGCGGCCUGCUGGGCAGUUGCCGACACUGAGGCGCGACAGCGUGGGGAGCAAACAGG
rnacentral:rRNA from 1 species